rnacentral:piRNA from 1 species
UUGUAGAGGUGUGCAUAUGAAAUCAAGAUA